GCCUUCGUGGUGCAGUGGCCAGUACGCUCGGCGUGUCUUCGAGAGGUCUGUGGUUCGAGUCCUGGCGAGGGCA
rnacentral:tRNA from 1 species